GUGAAUCAUCGAAUUUUUGAACGCAAAUUGCACUCUCCUCGGAGAGUAUGCCUGUUUGAGGGUCAGCCUAAAAAAAAUCUACAUCGUUGCUAUUCCGCGGUGACGUUCGUCGGAAAUUGGGGUAUCUUAAACCUUUUGGUUUAAGCGACUUAAAUUGUUCCUUUUUAUUCCAUGAAUGUUUCUAUGAUCUAUUUU
rnacentral:misc_RNA from 1 species